GAACCCAUCUUCGGAUGGGGGGCAGUGGCGAACGGGUGAGUAACACGUUGGUGACCUGCCCUGAAGCCGGGGACAACCCUUCGAAAGGAGGGCUAAUACCCGAUGUGUUUGCGCUGUUUAGAAAGGCGCAAAUAAAGUUCCGGCGCUUCAGGAGGGGCCAGCGGCCUAUCAGCUAGUUGGUGAGGUAACGGCCCACCAAGGCAACGACGGGUAGGGGGCGUGAGAGCGUGACCCCCCACAAUGGAACUGAGACACGGUCCAUAGUCCUACGGGAGGCAGCAGUGGGAUCUGUA
rnacentral:misc_RNA from 1 species